GAUGAACGCUGGCGGCGUGCCUAAUACAUGCAAGUCGAGCGAACAGACGAGGCGCUUGCUCCUCUGACGUUAGCGGCGGACGGGUGAGUAACACGUGGAUAACCUACCUAUAAGACUGGGAUAACUUCGGGAAACCUGAGCUAAUACCGGAUAAUAUAUUGAACCGCAUGGUUCAAUAGUGAAAGACGGUUUUGCUGUCACUUAUAGAUGGUUCCGCGCCGCAUUAGCUAGUUGGUAAGGUAACGGCUUACCAAGGCAACGAUGCGUAGCCGACCUGAGAGGGUGAUCAGCCACACUGGAACUGAGACACGGUCCAGACUCCUACGGGAGGCAGCAGUAGGGAAUCUUCCGCAAUGGGCGAAAGCCUGACGGAGCAACGCCGCGUGAGUGAUGAAGGUCUUCGGAUCGUAAAACUCUGUUAUUAGGGAAGAACAAAUGUGUAAGUAACUAUGCACGUCUUGACGGUACCUAAUCAGAAAGCCACGGCUAACUACGUG
rnacentral:rRNA from 1 species